rnacentral:tRNA from 1 species
GGAGAGGUGGCCGAGUGGUUUAAGGCAGCUGCCUGCUAAGCAGUUGUCCGGGCUAAAACCUGGACCGCGGGUUCGAAUCCCGCCCUCUCCG